GUUGCCUAUGGAUUACAUUACAGCACACUACAACCUCGAACUCCUGGGCUCAAGUGAUCCUCCUGUGCUAGCCUCUCAAGCAGCUAGGACUACAGUUUUACUUGCUUCCAACAGGAAGGCAAGUUUUCCUCCUUCCAUGACGAUGAAAGGCAGGUAACUCCUUUAUGGAAUUUGAGCUGGCUUCCAACAGGGAAGAUGAGGUUUUUUUUCCUGCCUCUAGAAUAGUAGAGAGCAGUCUACAGCCUGAGACCCAUCACUAGGACACAAUUGAAGAAACUGGUAGUUUUACCAAGGCUUUGACUGGAAUGGUGCACUUUCCUAUAAGGAAUCAAACUUGACUUAAGAAGCCAAUAAAGCCCUUGGAAAAACUGGCCUCAUAUUUUGUGUACACAGUCCGUGUACAGGGUUUCUGGCCUGUGGUAAGUAAAGAAUAUCACUUUCUGACAGGCACGGAAGCCCCAGAUUUAUCUUGGAUCCUCAAGAGGAGAGGAAAUUCAGACCAAGUACAGUGGCUCACACCUGUAAUCCCAGCACUUUGGGAGGCCGAGGUGGGUGGAUCACUUGAGGCCAGGAGUUCGAGACCAGCCUGGCCAACAUGGUGAAACCCCAUCUCUGCUGAAAUUACAAAAAUUAGCCAGACACAGUGGCACGCACCUGUAAUCCCAUCUACUUGGGAAGCUGAGGCAUGAGAAUUGCUUGAUCCCAGGAGGCAGAGGUUGCAGUGGGCCAAGAUCAUGCCAUUGCACUCUAGCCUGGGUGACAGAGCAAGAAUCUGUCUCAAAAAAAAAAAGUUGGGGGAGAGGAAAUUCACCCAACUUGUAGGUAUUUGAUGGCACAAAUUCAUGGCUGGAUUCAGCUUUAAAAUCUUAUCUGAGAUUCCUCCUAUGGAACAAAGUUUCAUCAAAGCCCAUUUAAAAGCCUAUGUAAAAAAUAAUUAUUUUUGCUGAACUGUAUACAAAUAAUUUGGCCAAGCAUAAUAAGCAAACCAAUCCUACCAUGAUUUAUCUUUAGUAAAAUGGGAAACUAGAGAGAGAGAGAAAAAAAUGUUUCAAGACGAUAGUACACUCGUUGUUAGAGUCUAGUCUUGCCUAAUUUUUUUUUUUUUAAUUUUUUAUUAUGUUCUACAGUUUGGGCUGAAUUCUAAUUGUUUCUUGGCUACAAGUCUUCAAAAUAAUGUUUUCAACUUUUUCUUUUUUUUCCCUUCUUUUUUUCCCAUGUUUCCUAAUUAGGAGUCACUGAAAACUAAGCUGUGCUUUCUUAAAGCCCAGCUAACUGAGACUAAACAACUUAAACUUCAGAAGAAAAUAACAGCAACCAAUUUACAUACCUGCCUACUGACUAUAGACUUCAGAGAAAUGUGGCCUAUAUAGAUUUUCCAAGAAUGUUCUUUUGUUUGUUGUUGUUUUUUCUCCCUUCCUCCCCACUAUUUUUCCUUCAUAGGACAUGAGACUUCACAACCUGCUAAAAAUCUUCGUUCGGGACCUACCUGUCUAGGAAUAAACCAUCCUUGCCAUGAGAGAUCAAAUGAAACCUGAGACCAGAGAUUCAUUUUCUUGUAAAAUGCCUUCUCCAAAAGAUUUUUGAAAAGAAAGGGGGGAAAUAUGAAAGGAAAUUAAAGCUUGGGGCCCCCAAAUCACUAAGCUAAAGGGAAUAGUCAAGCUGGGAACUGCUUAGGGCAAAGCUGCCUCCCAUUCUAUUCAAAGUCACCCCUGUGCUCACUGAGAUAGAUGCAUAUCUGAUUGCCUCCUUUGGAAAGGCUAACAGAAUCUCAAAAGAAUGUAACCAUUUGUGUAUCACCUAUCUGUGACCUGGAAGCCUCCUCCCCACUUCAAGUCUUCCUGCCUUUCCAGACUGAACCAAUGUACUUCUUACAUAUAUUGAUUGAUGUCUCAUGCCUCCCUAAAAUGUAUAAAACUAAGCUGUACCCCAACCACCUUGGGCACAGGUCUUCAGGACUUCCUGAGGCUGUCACGGACACAUGUCCCCAACCUUGGCAAAAUAAACAAUUAACUGAGACCUGUCUCAAA